AUGGUCACCAAUGUGGUUUGUUGCAGACUUCCGCCCAGCCCCACACCGCAGCCUUCCCAGCACCCAGAAACAGCACAAACCCCACAGAACUCCAGUGUCCCCUCCCCUAGGCCUUUACACACACCUGGUAAUGACCCCAGCUCUGUCAUGAGUCCAGCUGGCUCCAGCCAGGCGAGAAGCAGCUAUACCGGGACACGCUGAAGCAGCUGUCCAAGCGCAUCAAGCCCCUGCACCGCGUGGUUAACAAGAUCGAGAAGAAUGAAGAAAAAGGGCUGAGCAAGAUGAAGAGCCUUCUGGACAUUGUGACAGACCACUCCAAGCAGUCCCUGAAGACCUUGCCAAAGUGUGACAUCACCCUGGAGAAACUCAAGAAUGACAUGGCGGUUCCUACCUCCAGCCCACUGCCCCUGGUGCCGCCAACCAAACAGCAGUACCUAUGCCAGCAGCUCCUGGAUGCUGUCCUGGCCAACAUCCACUCACCCUCUUCAACCAUUCCCUGUACCGCACAUUUGCUCCAGCCAUGACUGCCAUCCACGACCCACUCAUCACGUCCGUGGUGGUAUGCACCCAGAAGCACAGGCAUGAGGACGACCAGUGGCAGAGCAUCCCCAGCAUGCUCCAGGGCUUGGUGGCCAGGCUGGACCCCAAGUGCAUGAUAAACCUGGACCCUUCUCCCUGCAGCAACAAUGGCACCGUCCACCUGAUCUGCAAGGUGGACGACAAGGACCUCCCAAGUGUGCCACCAUGUGCCCACCGACUACCCUACCCAGAGUCCACUGUGGAUGGACCGGCAGUGGCUGUACAGCACCAACCCCUUCCUCAGGUCGGUGCACCACUGCGUGACCUCCAGGCAGCCGCAGCUCCCGGACAAGCACUCGGUUACCACCUUGCUCAACACCUGUGCCCGGAGCAUCCACAAGGCCUGCCUCUCGGCUGCCUAGCCAGGACUGCAGGGAUGGCCCACAGCCUCAUUGGGGCCAAGGACGCCUGCCUCCUGUCAGACAUUUCUAGGUGUUGGCAUCCAUGGAGAGCCUGGAGUUAGGGUCUUACAUUUAAAGAAAAAGUAACAAGCCUUAAAUUCAAAGAAAAACCUACAGACCUGGAGACAAGAAGCUCUCACAAGUGUAUUUUUACAUCUGCAAGAAAUUAGUCAUCAAAUGCUUAGUAGCACAGAAAUUCUCAAGUGGUUGCAGGAAAUUAUGAUCUGCAGGAAUAAAUUUCUUCUUUAAAAUAAGCAGACAGAUAGAAGUUCCUGUCACUUUCUCCUUUUUUAUGGAGUAGGAUGUGAUACUCCUUCUAGUGGAAAUACCAGUCAAAUGUCCAUGGGUCUUGAAGAGUCACUGCAAACUCCUAGAGACUCUCUCCAGAAGGGAAAAGGGAGCUCCUCUAUGGAUAGUGCAGCAGUAUGCACUGGAACCCCCCCGAUUUGCCAACAAGCGCAGACCAAACUAGAAGUGGCCCUGUACGUGUUUCUGCGGAACCCUGGCACUGAAGCUGUUCUGGUUGCCAUGUCCUGUUUCUGCCACCUCUGUGAGGAAGCAGAUACCCGGUGUGGGGUGGAUGAAGUGUCGGUGCAUAACCUCUUGCCCAACUCUAACACAUUCAUGGAGUUUGCCUGUCAGCAAUAUUAUGUCAACAGGCUUGGGAAGCUACACAUGCAAAAUGGGAACAAGCAACAAAACUAAUCCUUAGCUAUCCAAAAGCCCAAAUGGAAGAUGGCCAGGCUGUUGAAAGCUUCACAAGACCAUUGUUAAGAGGGGAAUGUCCCAUGUGAGUGGAGGAGGACCCAUAGAUUUAUCUGACACAGACUCCCUACAGGCAUGGAUCAACAUGACUGGCUUCCUUUGUGCCCUUGGGGGAGUGUGCCUCCAGCAGAGAAGUAAUUCUGGCCUGGCAACCUAUAGCCCACCCGUGGGUCCAGUCAGUGAACAUAAGAGUUCCAUGAUUUCCGUGAUGUCCUUGGAGGGAAAUGCAGAUACACCUGUCAGCAAAUAUAUGGAUCAGCUGUUGUCGUUAAUGGUGUGUAACCAUGAGAAAGUGGUACUUCAAAUAUGGACCAAUGAUAAGGACCUGGUGGGUCUAGAAUUGAGUCCUGCUCUUUAUCUGGUGCUAUUUAACAAAUUUAAGGAGACUAUCAGCAAGUUUUUUGACUCCCAAGGACAGGUUUUAUUGACUGAUACCAAUACUCAAUUUGUAGAGCAAACCCUAGCUAUAAUGAAGAACUUGCUAGAUAAUCAUACUGAAGGCAGCUCUGAACAUCUAGAGCAAUCUAGCAUUGAAACAAUGAUGUUAAAUAUGGUCAGGUAUGUUCAUGUGCUUGGGAAUAUGGUCCAUGCAAUUCAAAUAAAAACGAA